rnacentral:lncRNA from 1 species
UUCUGAAAAUCAAAAUCAUCUAUGGCCACCACCCUCGCAUAUCUCCACUGCUGCUGCACACUGUACAGAGAGUAUUCAUAUGUGCCGACACCGAGGGCAAACCAAGUCUCGUACCUUACCGGUCAGAUACAAUUUGCCCCAUAUUGAGAGAAUAUGAUUUAAUAGUCUCAUGAAACUUCAGAAAAAUUCACAUACUCGAGAAUUUAAUUUGAUGAUAAAGAACUGAAAAUGGAGUAACUCCAAAUAAUUAAAAACUAGGUCAAGAUUCUAUGCAUGAGUGAGGAAAGUAUUUUGAAGGCGAGCAAUCAAUUUUGCCCUUCCGAAAAUUUAAAUUGCAUUCUGGUUUUGACUGCUUAGGCUUCAGAGACAUGCAUAUCAUCACUCUUGGACCGUGUGUGACUGCAAAAUUAACUAGGAAUGAGCCGCUCCAAUCAUAUUUCGUGGCCUACAAAGAUAAUCCAUGCAAUUAGCCUAACACAGACCAGCUGAGCUCAUCUUAGAGGAGGAAAGUGUGCACCUCAGAAACAGCCGUUGGGCAUGUUUAAACCAUGUCAAGCCACCAGAAAGUGUUGGGCUAUACAUUUGACCACUAACUUCAGAUCUGCACGCAGAGCUGCAGAGGAUCACUUUCUUUCACGGACCAAACCUCAGAGAGGCUAAGAAUUCGCCUUGAAAUAAUCAUAUGGUUGAUUGGCUGUUGCUUUCUCAAUGAAAAUAGAAACUGCAGCCAGUAAUCAGAAUCUUAUACUUCAUAUCUCACUUCCAAACUACGUCAUUGAUAUGCCGCACAACUAAGUAGCUUGCCUUCAUUUCUGAUGGACCAACACCACCAAUCCUAGUCUUUAUGAAAAUUGAUUCUUAGAUUCUCCUAUGGAGUGCUCCUGCUCGAGUCCAAGAUAACAAUCUGAUGCUAAAAUUAGCUUCGUUUCCUGAAACCCCAAAACUUGAGUCAGAACAUAAUGAAAAGAUGAUGCAACAAGACAACCAUCAAUAGUAUAUAAUAUACAUCGAACCAAAGAUUCAUAUCAAGCCAAAAAGAUUAAUGCUUGCAUCUAUAUUCAGAGCUCAAUGAUGCAGGCCCUCUCGUAUAAUGUAUUCAUGAGCUGGCUAUAGGUUAAAAAUUAAAAGCAGCAGUGCUCUGUCAUUCACAAAAAAUACAAAGCUGAAAAAAAGAACCUCAGCACCUCAAGAUGGCUUUUAAAACUCUGAGCUUGAGCUCUAUGUAGUACCUCUCUCCCCAAAAGACAAAUCAAUCGAACAGUCCACACAUUCACCACAACCCGCAUAAGAAUAAUUCUCCCUAGUGGGCCAAAUAAUAAAUAACUCAGCAGCACCAGUUGAAACAUUAAGUAGCCAUCUAGUUUGCUUUACAGUUAAUAUAUUUGUUUUAAACAGUUGAGUAUUUUAUAUGCUAAACAAUUAUAUGAUCGUUUUGCAGUUAGUUUGAAAACUUGCACGCGCUGUCUUCAGUACAUAUUAUUGUUAAUCUAAUGAUCUAACUAAAACAUCAAAUGUGCUGUCUAACAUGUCGUAAUUAAUUAUCGAGGCCCUGUUUGGUAUCACUGCAAGAAUUAGUUUUCAGUUUUUAAGAUAAUCCUGUUUAGUAGAGCAGUUUUUAUUUUUUAUUUUUUAAAAAACUCUAGCACGGAUUUUGGGAAAAAAAGUGAGCUAUUAAUAGUGGCUUUCACUUUUUUUGAAAAGUUAAAUAGGUUCCUUUUAGCCCUGCUGCCGCCACCACCACCAUCCCUGCCGCCAUCUUUGCACUACCACUGUCGCCACUACCCUUGCCACCCCCACUGCCGCUUAUAGAACUGAUGGUUAUUUAUUUUUUUAAAAAAAAUUGACUAUACCAAACAUGAAUUGUUUCUGAAAAUUUAUAUAUAAAAAAACUAAAACUGAGUUUCAGUUUUCAGGUUUCAGAAAACAGAGAGAGUAAUCUCAACCACAACCUUAGGUUAUACUUUUUAUUUAAUCGCCUUAUAUAAACUUGGAUAUGAUGAUAUUUUUGAUAUAGUUUGAUUCAGAUUAAAAAAAUAAAUCGCUUUGUUGCUAAUUUGUCCCUUGAUUCUAGGCUAGUGGGAUUGACCAGGUAGGGCCCCUCAGAAAGAUUGUAUCAUAUAUAAUUCUUCUUGAUUAUAUAAGCAUGGUUUUUGGGUCUCUAGGAUUUUGAGCUAUGAAUGGGACAGAUCUGGAUCCCUAUGAUAGACAUAAAUGCCAAAAAGACUGCCUUGAACAAAAACCAGAUACCUCAAAAUCACUUCAUUCAGGCACAUCAAUUUACGUUUUUAAAGAUCAUCUGCAGAGAAUCCAUCAACCUGGUAUAAGAUGCGCAUGUGCUGCAGUAGUUACCAGUCACCCAUUAGAUCUAUGAAGGUUAAGGUAUUUAUCCUUUCAGUAAAUUUCAAAUUUCAAAGGGAUAUGGAACGCUUGAACUCAAAUUCCACAUCUGAAAAUACCCUCCCCCUUCCCAUCAUGAAGCAACAUAUUGCACCUAGUCAACUACAAGUAAAAAUGCUGGCAAUGAACCUUAUAAGCAAGACUUUUAUACUCAGAAGCAACAUUUGCAUCUUAUGUUGUCAUUCCUAUAGUAAUCAGCCCCUGAAACUAGGGAUAUUAUCUCAUUUCAACUAACAACCAUCACCCCAGAUAUAAACCCUUUGGAUUACUACCCCUAAACAUUCUCUGAUGCUUGGGCAGACCUUUUAAGACUCCCUCUCUCCUUGUGACCCCCAGGUCAUCACACCUCUGGACAAGAGGCAUGUCUAAUUUAACCUUAUCUAGAUCUUUCCCUAGCUCCACCAACACAAAUAAGGACUUCCUGUUGGCCAUGCAUGAUUAUCAUUUAUUCUCUAACAGAAAAGCUUGACAAAUAGAAGCACCCUUAACCAUUUUAAUUAACUGGACUUAUGUACUCCAUUUGACAAAACUCUAUUCGCCCAGAAGGUGGAGUGGAUAACUUGCAAAGAAGAUAAUCUUUUGCCUUUUUUACCAAGGUAAUAAGGACCCACUUUCGACAUUUUCAAAAAACCUAAUGUAAAGGGAACAAAUUAAAUAACUACUUGACGAUAUAGCUACCAAGGAAUGCACCGUGUCUGAGUUACUUGCAGUUCCCUCUUGCUCUGUAGGAUGUAGCUUCUCUUACUCUCUGUGAGAAGAGAGCAGACUAGCCUUAUCACUCACCCCACCAAAAUAGCUAGAAAGAGAAUGAAAAGUUCAAACACAUCAACAUUGAGAGCACAUGACAAAAAAAAAAAAAAACUAGUCACCAUUGGCUUAAGUACAACUUUUGAAAAUACAAACAUAGAGGUGAAGGGAAAAACAAAAAUCAAACAUAAUAGACAGCAAUUAAAGUAUCAGAGAUAAGAUACAAGGUGUUGUAAUUGCCCAAGAUGCUAGCAUAACCACAAAAUUGGGAAUAGGAAAAUUAAUUAAAUCAUAAAUGUCCAAGCUUGCAUGCAUACUCUCACCUGGAGAUUGAUCACUGUUGGUGGUAGCUCCAUGCGAGUGAACAAUCUGUCAGAGAAACUAACUCUUUUCAGAGCAUAUAGCUCUGAGGUGGUGACAUUUCCCAAAACUAGCCACCAAGCUUCAUCUUUUACCUGAGAAUAAGUGAGUCCAUCAUUACUCAAAGGCCAGCAACAACAUGCUAGAUGAAAUUAAUAUAUACAAAGAAUGCUGGAAUGCACUUUCUCAUAUUACUUGAAAGCAUACAUUAGCACCAUGCUAGAAUAUUUAACUCACUUUCCCAAGCAACUUGUUUUUUUCCAAAAACAAAGAAGUAAACUAAGUAACUUAGAGUUGUCAACAAAGCCUUCAAAUCUUUCUAUUGGCACAGUGUUUUUUUAAAUUGGUUCCAGUGAACCCUGUUCAAAGCUUAGCAGCAUUUCUAAAUUGCUAGAUAACUAGCACACUGUUGUGCCUCUAUUUAGCCAACAUCAUACCUGAUUUGCUAAUUUCAGAGAACACAACUUAAGAGCAGACAGUCAUUUCUUAGACUAAACGAAUUGCUCAAAUUCCAAGGCUUUCACUAAUAAAUACAUAGGUUUUCACAAACUUGACCAGCAACUAAGCUUCUCAUGGUUUUCAAAGAUCAUUAGAUGGUUUAGACCACAGGAGAAGAUCUCUAAUACUAUUGUUAAAUGAAACCAAACAAUUUUCACCUUUGGGAAUCUAGGGGCGAAUGCUCUUGAUGUCGAGCACUUGGAAUUAAUUUUUUCCAAUCUAAUGUUAAGAAUUGGAGACUUUUGGCCAUCUUCCUCUUGAAGCUUCAAUUUUGCUUGAACACGUGGAAACUGCUGAAGAUCCUGUCAACAUAGAAUAAUGUUAAUAAAAAGCAGUAAGCACAAUCCACCUCAUUUUUAAUAGAAGCAACAAUGGAAACAACCAAAUAUAUAUAAUAUGACUUUCGUAGGUUGACACAGGCACACAUCACCUGCAUAAGUGACUAACUAAACUUCUUAAAACAUCUUAGUUAUUCCAUAUUUCUAAUCUAGAAAGUUAUUUAUUCCAGGUAGUAAGAGCACAACUUAUUUCUUCAGAUAAAUUCAGAAAAGAAAGUUUGCCUACAAACUAACUCGAGAAUUCACAUGCAGAAAUCUUUAAAAAAAAUAAAAUAUUGUACUAUGAACUUGACUCAUAAGUCAUAACAUGACAUAGGAUGAAACAGCCCAGGCAGGCUGGGAUGGAGACUGAAGAGGAAAAAAAAUCUUAAGCAUGAUACAGCACAGAGAUGUCCACCUGCCAAAGUGAAAAUGACAAAAAAGUUUUCCAAGAGGUAAAAACUUAUUUUCAUAAUUCUUCAAUAUUCAAGAAGAGCACUUUUUCCAUGGUCAAUGUACUGGUAUUAACUUACAUGGUCAAUCUUACAUCUGAUUUAUCAGCAUAUAAAUAUCCAGACAAAGUUGAAGAUCAGAUAACUGCAACAAAUAGUGCCACAUAUGGCCUUCCUAAAACAGAGAUUAUAUAGAAGAAACAUAGGGGCAAGCAAAACCUCAAUGGGACUCACCAUAAAUGCCACCAAGAUAAUUCAGUUGCCACAUAUAACCUCUGCUGAUUAUGGUAUUAAAGUGAGGCAAAUAAUUAGGAAGCUCAUAUGGCAUUCACCAGUAUGCAGAUUGUACUCUGAUAGACUGACACCACCAGAUUGUUAACAAAAAGUUAAAAACAAGUUAAUCAAGUAUAAUAGAAGAUUUAUUCUACCAAUACAUGAACAAGGGACCUCUUGAAACAUAUUCAUGGUAAAAGAUGGCUAUUAUCCAUGGCUCAAUACUUUUUGUAGAUACGUUCUCCAGAUACAGUCAUGGAACCUGUUUUGGUAAAUAAAAUGGUAAAGAUAAUGAGGUCCUUUAUAAGCAAGUCUUGAAAAUUGAUUGUUCGGGCAUGGAACGAGAAUGAUCCAGUAUUUUCAUGCUACAGCAGUUGUUAGAAGUCUAAUAUCCUCUGGACUAAGAAUGUUGGGUAGUGAGAGUAAACACAGAAAGGCAGAAUAUUUUCCUCCAAAAGCAAGUGCAGACUAAAAGCUUACCCACCAGACUUCUAGUUGCCAAAACAAGUCUGUUUGGGAAGAGCUUCUGAGAUUGAAGAGAUGAAAAAAAUGAUGUUUAUGAUACACAAACCUUAAGCUUUAGGCUCUUGUGGAUUAAGUCAUGCUUUAUAUAAAAUUUAAUGAAUUUUAACUGCUUAUGAAUGAAAAUAACUAUUUUUCACCAAGUAAUAAAAAAAUGAGCCUCAUAAAGAUACAUUACAACAUCUGAAGAACAUAGAUAAGCUAUAAACAGUUGUACCUUAUAUAAAUAUAAAUAUUGGUCACUGAUAACUACUAAGAUAACCUAUACAGCAAAGUUAUACCUGGUAUAACUCUGGAGAAGGAAACUGUCGGAGCAACCUCUGCAAAUUUGCAUCGGGAAGAUACAGUAGGUCCUGCAGAGUUGAGAUACCAGCUUUCUUGAUAUGACUGAAAAGAUCAUUGUUCAUGCAAGGCAACAUCCACAGGGAUGAAUCUCUUUCAAACCACAAACCCUGAAAAUAACAAAUGUAAAUUAGUGAUGAGUACCAAACAAUAUCCAUACCCUUGUGGGGAUAUCUCUGUGGUUAUUCGUGUUGACAGCCAAAUUUGGAAAAUCAUUCAUUAAACUUAUACCUAAAGAGAAAGGUCCCAAAAGAACAAGAGUGAUACCACAAUGACUAUUUUUCCCUUUCAUCAGAUUUUUUAAAUUUUGAAGAACAAUUAAUUAAACUAACAACAUAAAAGAUUUUUCUCAAUACUAAAUUUUAGGUAAGAAUAGCAUAUCCUUGAACCUUGUAAAGACUCAGCCUGAGUACAGCAAAUAUAUUGUGUCAUAACACUUAUACUCCUGACAAGACAGAUUACCCAGUCCUUUAACAUCUAGAGAUAUAUAAAGUAGUGCAUUCAAAGGCUUUUCUAAGAAAUAUGGAGCUUUAUUAGACAGGGAAAAUGACAAUAAAAUUUUACUACCCCCUGACUCCACAUCCUCAAUUGCCACAUAAGAUGCACACAGACACUUUCUUCUACAGGAUUUUAGUUUAUCCUUUUGUUACUUGCAGAAUCUAUAUGCAUAUGUUUGUGAUCAUGAGACUGGCUAAAUAACUCCGACAAUGCAUUAACUAUUGAUCAUUGUCGAUGCAUGAUGGUGAUGCAUAUGGCUAGUUCUCGCAAAAGAUAGCUUGAUCCACAUAGGCAACAACACAAUAGGGAGUGUUUGGUUGGAAAGAUCUGGCAAAUAUACAUGAAUUUACUUCCAUGACUGGUCAACCCGUGCCAAAGUCAAAAAUCUUUAUGGCCACCCACUUCAGUCCCCAUCUUUGCUGAACCAAAGACAUAGAAGUGACAACUUGCAGAGGAGCCCAAGUUUGGGGAUGCCACUUCCACAGCCUAAUACACCCACAAUCAAAGUGGAGGCAUUGAAGCAUGGUUAGAUGACAGAGAACAAAUGCCUAUCAGUCCAUAGAAUAUUAACAAUACUUGAGGAAUAGGAGCAGAAAAGCUACUAUGCAACCCAGGGUUGGUGGAACCGUCCCGAACCGGGUGGUUCCAGCCAUUCCAAGCCGUCCCGGUGGCUGACAGGCGUGGUUCUGGCAACGGAAACUGAAUCCGUUGCCGGAGGAGGAGAAAAGAGAGAAAAAGAGAGAGUAAGCGGGGGAGGGAGAGGGAGAGGAAGGUGUAGGCCGGCCGACGGAGGCCGGCGAGCCGCGCGGGGGAUGCUCCUCCGGGCUCCAUGGCUGGAAAACAGGGUGGAUCCCCUGUUUCGUUCGAAACAGGGUCCGAUCCUUUUUUUUAUUUUGCGAUUAUUACGUGAAGUCGACAAGCGAUUUGCUGACUUCACUUAAAAAUCGCAAAAUAAAAAAAGGAUCGGACCCCCGUUUCGAAUGAAACGAGAGAUCCGCCCUGUUUUCCAGCCGCGGAAGUUUCCUCCACCUCCUGCCCAGGUCAUGGGCUUCCCUCCCUCUCCCCCCCUUCUCUCUCUCUUUUCCUCUCUCCCACCUCCUAUACUAUGUCGGUACAGGCUCGUCCCGCUGAGCAACUGGUACGGUGCCACGUAUCAGUUCCGCCAUCCUUGAUGCAACCCUUGAUUAGUGCUGGGAUGCACCAACAUUUUUUAACAAAAAUUGCAUGCAAAUUAGAAACAACCUUGCUUGUUGAUUUAAUGGAAAACCCAUACUUGCAAACUUCAAGAAAAAAGUGUUAUGCCUAACUUUUGUACACUCUUCAAAUCUCCACUUGAACCAAAUGCAAGUACAUAUGCAAACAUUAGGCACAAGAUUUCUUGAUCACCAAUGCAAGGGAAAAAUGGAAAACAUUUGCAUAGUGGAAAGGCAGGGGGCCUCAAUUUGUUCACCUAGAAGGAAGGAACAACCCCCCCUCUACGAGUGCAAGCAAUAGAGCAAGUGUGUGUGUGUGUGUGAGGGACACACACAGAGAGAGAGAGAGAGAGAGAGAGAGAGAGAGAAGUUUUUCGAGAGAAUAUGAUUUAAUAGUCUCAUGAAACUUCAGAAACAUUCACAUACUCGAGAAUUUAAUUUGAUGAUAAAGAACUGAAAAUGGAGUAACUCCAAAUAAUUAAAAACUAGGUCAAGAUUCUAUGCAUGAGUGAGGAAAGUAUUUUGAAGGCGAGCAAUCAAUUUUGCCCUUCCGAAAAUUUAAAUUGCAUUCUGGUUUUGACUGCUUAGGCUUCAGAGACAUGCAUAUCAUCACUCUUGGACCGUGUGUGACUGCAAAAUUAACUAGGAAUGAGCCGCUCCAAUCAUAUUUCGUGGCCUACAAAGAUAAUCCAUGCAAUUAGCCAACACAGACCAGCUGAGCUCAUCUUAGAGGAGGAAAGCGNNNNNNNNNNNNNNNNNNNNGAGAGAGAGAGAGAGAGAGAGAGAGAGAGAGAGAGAGAGAAGAUAUUAACAUGGACAAAGGCCAAUCGAUUUUCCAGGAUCUUAGGGCCAAUGAUUUUUAUCCAAUUACAAUGCAACACAUAACUCGAAGGUUUCAAACCUGACGCAGCAAGAAAAGAAAGAUGGGGAGAUUUGAUCGAUAAGGUUGCACUUUGAAAAUUGGCAUGCAGAAGGAAGUUCUCUUGAAAAGUUUUAUUAAUAUGUCAAAAGGCUACCCCGUACAAUGCAUUAUACGCAUCUCCAUAGAACAUGGUCCCCUAGCCAGUCAUAGUAUUAUGAAUGUGAUAUUAUUAUUUUCUUAUAAUAUUAUUAAUAGUGUUAUAUUCUAAUAUUAUUUUCAUACUAAUAUAAUAUAGUGCAAAGUAUUGUUAAAAUAUAAUUUCUAUAUUUUAUUUUAAUCUAAAUAUUUUAAUCUAUAUUUUAAUGUAGUGUAAAGUAUUUUAAUC